rnacentral:rRNA from 1 species
GACGAACGCUGGCGGCGUGCCUAACACAUGCAAGUCGAGCGAGAGACUUCGGUCUCUAGCGGCGGACGGGUGAGUAACACGUGGGUAACCUGCCUCAAACAGGGGGAUAGCCUUCCGAAAGGAAGAUUAAUACCGCAUAAUGUCAAAUUGUCGCAUGAUAGUUUGAUCAAAGGAGUAAUCCGGUUUGAGAUGGACCCGCGGCGCAUUAGCUAGUUGGUGAGGUAACGGCUCACCAAGGCGACGAUGCGUAGCCGACCUGAGAGGGUGAUCGGCCACAUUGGAACUGAGAUACGGUCCAAACUCCUACGGGAGGCAGCAGUGGGGAAUAUUGCACAAUGGGCGAAAGCCUGAUGCAGCAACGCCGCGUGAGUGAUGAAGGCCUUCGGGUUGUAAAGCUCUGUCUUUGGGGACGAUAAUGACGGUACCCAAGGAGGAAGCCACGGCUAACUACGUGCCAGCCGCCGCAGUAACAC